AGCAGCCGCGGUAAUUCCAGCUCCAAUAGCGUAUAUUAAAGUUGUUGCAGUUAAAAAGCUCGUAGUUGAAUUUCGAGACCGGCUUAUUGGUCGUGCUUUUGUACGUACUGGUAUAAUCGGUUUCUCCUUUCUGACUAACCAUGAUGUCAUUAAUUUGGUGUCAUGGGGAAUCAGGACUGUUACUUUGAAAAAAU
rnacentral:rRNA from 1 species